AAAAAUAGUGUGUAAACAUCUUAGCCAGGAGCUCAUAUCCUGAUCUGGGGACAGGAGGAAUAGACAUGUAGAAGUUCUAGGUCCUGGGGACACUGGGGAAGACAAAAUAGACAAGAUCCUCGCUUUUACACUGCUCACUCUUUAAGAGGCAAGACAACAAAGAAGCAAUGUUGCAGGAUUCCACACUUAAUGCUUCCCCAUUGUGACUAUAGGGGGUUUAUUUGACUCAUAAGUGGAACAAAGUAACGAGAAGAAAAAGCGUCAUGGAUAGUUUCUAAAGUCCCCAUGAAAGAUUUGAAGGAGGGCUGAGAAGAAAAGUGAGAUUCAGGGAGAGUGCCAGGAUCAUGUCUUACUCACAAGUCUGCAGCCAUGGGAAUCCUUAGCAGAGAGAAGCAGAUGAGGUUCCCUAGGAAGAACAUGUAGACUAAAAAGUGCAUCAGGCUGAAAAAGGAGACCCAAGGAAGACCAAUUCUCACAGAGUUAGCAGAGGAAAAGUACCCACCAAAGGAGACAAAAAAGCUGUGAGCUGUCCUGUGAAGCGGCCCGUGUGGCAAGGAACUCCGGGAAGGAGUUGAGGCCCUCUGACCCAACGCCUGUGGGAAACGACUUGGAAGUACUUCUUCUCCAGGUGAGCUUUGAGGUGGAUUGCAACCCCAGCUGGUGCCAUGACCCUGGUGCUGUGAAAGACCUUGAGCCAGAGCA